rnacentral:rRNA from 1 species
GAGGGAAACGUUACUGAUAAUACUGGAUAAGUUAGUAUAUCGCAUGAUAUGCAAAUGAAAGCUACGGCACUAAAGGAGAGCUUUGCGUCCUAUUAGCUAGUUGGUAAGGUAAGAGCUUACCAAGGCGAUGAUAGGUAGCCGGCCUGAGAGGGUGGACGGCCACAAGGGGACUGAGAUACGGCCCUUACUCCUACGGGAGGCAGCAGAG